rnacentral:lncRNA from 10 species
AAUAAUGCUCUCCUUCUCAAACUGUCUGCUUGCUUGUUUUAAAUAAAAGAUCACUCAUUGUGGAAGAAAUCUGAUGCCAUGUCUUGAGGACACUCAAGUGGCCUAUGGAGAGGCGAACAUAAAGACAAGAAACCCAAUCUCAAGCACUAUGAGACUCCCUCCUCUCCAUCUCCAAGGGUCAGGCCAUGGUCUUAGUCAUUGCCAAGAGCAUCACAGAAGGCCUCUGCCUCCGGUUCCUACCUGGGCCCUUUCUAUGCUCGUUAACUGAUGCUGCAGCCUGACUUCUUCAAGACUAAGUUGGGCUGUAUGCUUGCAGUCAUGGGAGGAAAACAAAAGAGGGUAUAAACACAAUGCAAUGCCUCGACACAUCACUCCAUCUCAGGGGGUCAGAAAAUAAAUUAAAUGUUAGGAAAAACAGAAAAGAAAUAAGCAACAUAGUGCCAGCCUUUGGGUUCUUAGACACUCAAAAGGAAACAGAAAGUACAGAAACAAUACACCAGGAAAUAAAAGAGGGCGUUUUUAGAAGUACCAUUUAAAUUGCAAGGGCUGCAGGAAUCAACAGAAGGAAAUAAUCGGGGCGAGGGGGAGGGGACUUAAUAAGAAUAAUAAUUAUAUAUAUUCCCUCAAAUUUGUAUGGAAUUUAUAAAUUACGAGGGACUUUUCGCACAUUUGUAACUUCAUUUUAGACACGCACAAUGAAAUUAAGUAAAAUGGGGUUGGCGGGACAGAUGGUAACAUCUUUAUUUUACAGAUGAGGAACUUGGACUCAGCUAGCUUUGGCGACUUGUUGAGAAAGUCAGAACCAGUUAGUUGUGGAAUAUAAAAUUGAGCUCGGCUCUCUUCCUACCUAGUCUUUUCUCUGCUCCGCUCCCACACUUCAGUGAGAGUUGCUUUCCUGAAGGAGUAAGUUCUAAAGCAGGAUUGGAAGUUCCUAUAGGGACAAAGAGAAGAGGCAUCCAUGAGUGGCAAGGAGUGUGAAAGGGAUGAAAAACACAUAGGAAGAAAUGGAGACAGGCAGAAGGUCCCAGCUACAGGACAGAAAAGCCAGGGUGUGGGCUUCUGAGAGAUGAUGCUGAGUGGUGAGUCACGGGUGACUAAGGGAGCCAUUGACAUCAGAUUGCAAAUUCUCCCCUCCUACCCCAUGAUGAAGAAGUUUAU